UACGUAGGUGGCAAGCGUUGUCCGGAUUUAUUGGGCGUAAAGCGCUCGCAGGUGGUUCGUUGCGUCGUGCGUGAAAGACCCCGGCUCAACUGGGGAGGGUCGUGCGAUACGGGCGGACUGGAGGCCAGUAGGGGGAUGCGGAAUUCCGGGUGUAGUGGUGGAAUGCGUAGAGAUCCGGAGGAACACCAGCGGCGAAGGCGGCAUCCUGGACUGGUCCUGACACUCAGGAGCGAAAGCGUGGGGAGCGAUCCGG
rnacentral:rRNA from 1 species